rnacentral:rRNA from 1 species
CACGGAGUUAGCCGGUGCUUAUUCUGCAGGUACCGUCAUCACCCUACACGUAAGGCUUAUUCUUCCCUGUCAAAAGCAGUUUACGACUCAGAAAGCCUUCAUCCUGCACGCGGCAUGGCUGGGUCAGGCUCUCGCCCAUUGCCCAAUAUUCCCUACUGCUGCCUCCCGUAGGAGUCGGGCCCGUAUCUCAGUGCCCGUGUGGGGGACCAGCCUCUCAGCUCCCCUAGUCAUCGUCGCCUUGGUAAGCCGUUACCUUACCAACUAGCUAAUGACCCGCAACCCCAUCUAUAACCAAUAAAUCUUUACUAAUAACCCGAUGCCGAGUCAACUAGCUUAUGCGGUAUUAAUCCGCCUUUCGGCGGGCUAUCCCCCAGUUAUAGGUAGGUUAGUUACGUGUUACGCACCCGUGCGCCACUAUGACAUUGCUGCCACCGUUCGACUUGCAUGUAUUAGGCCUGCCGCUAGCGUUCAUCCUGAGCCAGGAUCAAACUCU